rfam:Selaginella moellendorffii unplaced genomic scaffold SELMOscaffold_17, whole genome shotgun sequence.
AAGCAAAUGAUGAGUACUGGAUUCCCCUUCAUGACUUGAGUGAUGAAACAUUCCAGUUUCUGAUGCC